GCCAGCAUGAUGUAAUGCUUUGAGCACUAGACUAGGACUCUGGAGAUCAGGGUUCAAUUCCCUGCUCGGCCA